rnacentral:rRNA from 1 species
CUAGCGUUGUCCGGAAUCAUUGGGCGUAAAGCGCGUGUAGGCGGCCCGGUAAGUCCGCUGUGAAAGUCCAGGGCUCAACCCUGGGAUGCCGGUGGAUACUGUCGGGCUCGAGUCCGGAAGAGGCGAGUGGAAUUCCUGGUGUAGCGGUGAAAUGCGCAGAUAUCAGGAGGAACACCAAUGGCGAAGGCAGCUCGCUGGGACGUGACUGACGCUGAGACGCGAAAGCGUGGGGAGCAAACAGG